AUCAUUUUUUCAAGUUAUGAAUCUAGAGCAGAAUUGUCUGCACAAAAUCACUCUCUACUGUUAAAGAACGUACAAAAGAGGGACAGUGGAGUUUACAGAGCACGUGUUUCUGCUGAUAAUAUCUCAGAUGUAGCUGAAUACAGCGUCACAGUUCUGGAUCCAGUGUCUGGAGUGAAGCUGACAGUGAAACUCUGCAGCUCAGACUCCACUAACGUCACAGUGAUCUGCAGCACUGAGACUCUCUCAUCAACAGCACGUUCACAUGUGACAACCAAACCUGCUCUCACGAGGGAGGAGAGCGAGCAGAGAUCAUCACACCUGGUGCUUCUCUGGACGUCUACCUGGAGAACGGUUCAGUCAUCUGUAACCAUAGCAACCAGGUCAGCUCUACAAGGGACAUCCAAAAGAUUGAAGAUCUUUGUGUGAAGCCCGACGCAUCGAAAGGCAGCCAAAAUAAUGUUACACCGAUUGUUGUAGCCAUCGUCUUAUCUCUUGGUGUUGUUUUGGCUAUAAUUUGAAUUCAUCAUCGAAGGAGAAAACAAAAGAAAGCAGAGAACAUGGAAAAUACAGUCUAUGAAGAUCCUCAGUGAAUACAGACCUCCCUCUGCAGCAGAGACCAACAAAUGAUGCCCCCGCUGGUCCUCUACCCUACAUCUACUCCAUCGUCUCUGAAGCACCCACUCAGCCCAUAGACAACGCUCAGCCAGAGAUCCUGUAUGCAGAGGUGGAAAAACUUCCAAAGUCCUGAAACAGUUCAAUAUGAUGUCUUCAACACACUUCUCUUGCAGGAAUGACCUCUUUAGUUUAGUUUAGUUUAGUUUUGUAGCAGUGAAGGACUUCUGACUGCGUCUUCUUUUUCUGUACGUCGGUCGUCGACUAGCUACUUGAGUCAUGCAAUGAAGUUGAAAGACCCAACUAUAGUCAGAUUGCUGAUUUUAUUAUGAAUUAUAACAACAAGCACCUUCUGACUGGAAUCAUUUGCCAGAUAACCUGUGAACAAUUAACUCUUUUCAUACCUUUUAAAAAAAAAAAAUUAAAUCGCCCUUCCACUGCUUCCAACCCUAAUGUCUUCCUGCUCCCUUAAUAAGGAGGCUUCUGAUUGUACUGUAAUCUUUGUAAUUACCAUCAUUAGUGUCAAUACUUACAAUGUUAUUAGUUAAUAUGUGAUGUGAAAUCUCGUGCCUGUUUACGUUGUGUGGGUGGAGUAGCGAUACAGAAUGAAUGCCCUGGUGGGUUGGACCUCCCUUGAAAACGAGAUGAUUCAUCUCAAGAGGGUAUUCAUCAAUGAAUGUACAUUUAAAUCUGCUGAUGAAUAAUACCAUUUGGACUUCAAACAGAAACAAGAACUAUUUUGUUGCAGACAUUUGAGCCUCUCACCUGCAACAUCAUGAUGAUAAUAAUAAUAAU